rnacentral:rRNA from 1 species
UGGGGAAUUUUGGACAAUGGGCGAAAGCCUGAUCCAGCAAUGCCGCGUGUGUGAAGAAGGCCUUCGGGUUGUAAAGCACUUUUGUCCGGAAAGAAAUCCUUGGCUCUAAUACAGUCGGGGGAUGACGGUACCGGAAGAAUAAGCACCGGCUAACUACGUGCCAGCAGCCGCGGUAAUACGUAGGGUGCAAGCGUUAAUCGGAAUUACUGGGCGUAAAGCGUGCGCAGGCGGUUUGCUAAGACCGAUGUGAAAUCCCCGGGCUCAACCUGGGAACUGCAUUGGUGACUGGCAGGCUAGAGUAUGGCAGAGGGGGGUAGAAUUCCACGUGUAGCAGUGAAAAUGCGUAGAGAUGUGGAGGAAUACCGAUGGCGAAGGCAGCCCCCUGGGCCAAUACUGACGCUCAUGCACGAAAAGCGUGGGGAGCAAAACAGGAUUAGAUACCCUGGUAGUCCACGCCCUAAAACGAUGUCAACUAGUUGUUGGGGAUUCAUUUCCUUAGUAACGUAGCUAACGCGUGAAGUUGACCGCCUGGGGAGUACGGUCGCAAGAUUAAAAACUCAAAGGAAUUGACGGGGUCAUAGCUGUUUCCU